UACGUAGGGACCAAGCGUUGUUCGGAUUUACUGGGCGUAAAGGGCGCGUAGGCGGUGCUGUAAGUCACUUGUGAAAUCUCUGAGCUUAACUCAGAACGGCCAAGUGAUACUGCAGUACUAGAGUGCAGAAGGGGCAAUCGGAAUUCUUGGUGUAGCGGUGAAAUGCGUAGAUAUCAAGAGGAACACCUGAGGUGAAGACGGGUUGCUGGGCCGACACUGACGCUGAUGCGCGAAAGCCAGGGGAGCAAACGGG
rnacentral:rRNA from 1 species